GGUUGGCUGCCACAUUCUAUAAGCCUUCUAAUUUACACAAAACACUACUUCAUUAUCUUUUUAAUUUGAUAUCAGAGCUUGUUUAUCUUAACCAAUUUAUUUCUUCUUCCUUCGCUAUUGAAUCUUCUUCCCUGGUAGCAUCACCGCCUAUGCUCUCCUCUACAGCUGCUGCAACCAUAUUGCAUCUGCUGCGACAAUAACUGUUGGUUCCUUAGCAACCAUUAUUCCCCUCUCCAACACGCAAAAAGUGAUUAAUCUCAAGCUUACCAACACGAACUAUCUAUAUUGGCAUAUGCAGAUGAAACCAUAUUUGAUUUGUCAAGGUGUUUUCUCAUAUAUUGAUGGUUCAUUUCCAUGUCUUUCUCCCCAUGUCCUGCUGAGUGAUGAUUCUGCCGCCUCUGUCACCUUCGGUUUUGGUAUUAAUCAAGCUUUUCUCUCAUGAAAACAAUAAGAUCAGCUCAUCCUUAAAGCUCUCCUCUCCUCUCUUUCCAUGAAUGUCCUCCAUCUUAUGGUUGAUUGUUCGACUUUUGCUAGUGUUUGGAGCACACAAGAACAUGCCCUUUGCUUCACCAUCCAAUUCUCGGAUUAUGAAAUUACAUGUCUCUAUUCAAGAUCUUCAUUAAGUGAAUUCUGUGAUUUGGUUACAAGUCUAUUGACCAAGGCUGAGCCUCUUCCCUACUCCGAGCUGUAUAGUCACCUAUUUACCCAUGAGGGCAGAGGAAGAUGUGGUGGUUAGAGGAAUACUCACAACUCGUUCAACUAGUCCAGUCGUCAUAAUUACCGUGGCAACAUUGGUGAUCUAUGAGGGCAAUUGGCAGCAACGGUCUAACCAAAACUCUUCUCCCAAUCAAUGGCCUCGUACACGAUAGGUUUGAUGUCAGUUCUGCAACAUUUUUGGUCACUCAGUGUAGCAAUGUUCACAACUAGUAACCCAUGGAAAUCAAGCUUCAGCUAACUUCUCUUUUAGUGAUGCUUCGACAACAAACUCUAUCACUUACUUUCCUGAUGUAGGUGCGGAUUAGCAUGUUACUCUAGACAUUGCAAGUAUGACAAACGCAAAACCUUAUUUUGAUAAUAAUCAAUUGCAUGUUGGUGAUUGUAAGGAACUUGUCAUAUCUAAUGUAGCUCAUACUACCUUACAUACUCUAAAACGAGCCUUUACUUUGUCUAAUGUCUUACAUGUGCCAAAAAUUAAAAAUUGACUCCUAUCUAUUCAACAAUUUUGUCAUGAAAA